rnacentral:rRNA from 1 species
GACGGAGGGUGCAAGCGUUGUUCGGAAUCACUGGGCGUAAAGCGCGUGUAGGCGGUUCGAUAAGUCGGACGUGAAAGCCCGGGGCUUAACCCCGGAAGGGCAUCCGAAACUGUCGAGCUUGAGUACGGGAGAGGGAAGCGGAAUUCCUGGUGUAGAGGUGAAAUUCGUAGAUAUCAGGAGGAACACCGGUGGCGAAGGCGGCCCCCUGGACGAAGACUGACGCUCAGGUGCGAAAGCGUGGGGAGCAAACAGGAUUAGAUACCCGCGUAGUCC